CACGCAGUAAACGAUGAUUACUAGGAGUUUGCGAUAGACAGUAAGCUCCCGAGCGAAAGCGUUAAGUAAUCCACCUGGGGAGUACGCCGGCAACGGUGAAACUCAAAGGAAUUGACGGGGGCCCGCACAAGCGGUGGAGCAUGUGGUUUAAUUCGAAGCAACGCGAAGAACCUUACCAAGGCUUGACAUCCCUCUGACCGGUGUAGAGAUACACCUUCUCUUCGGAGCAGAGGUGACAGGUGG
rnacentral:rRNA from 1 species